UACGUAGGGUGCGAGCGUUGUCCGGAAUUACUGGGCGUAAAGAGCUCGUAGGUGGUUUGUCGCGUUGUCCGUGAAAACUCACAACUCAAUUGUGGGCGUGCGGCGAUACGGGCAGACUGGAGUACUGCAGGGGAGACUGGAAUUCCUGGUGUAGCGGUGGAAAUGCGCAGAUAUCAGGAGGAACACCGGUGGCGAAGGCGGGGUCUCUGGGCAGUAACUGACGCUGAGGAGCGAAAGCGUGGGGAGCGAACAGG
rnacentral:rRNA from 1 species